GUGCAUUUUAUUGUACGUUUUUUGCGGCGACUAUAGUUUUCUCUGAGCCGUCGUCGCCGUCGUUGCGCUUUGUGUGUUGGCUCCAGUGGCUGAUCUUGUGCUGGUCCUGUGACCUGAUAGAGUAGGUGUUUGAGCCGAGUCGGACUAGUCACUCUAGGAACUGUAGUGUGCCUUCCGGGAUGGCGAGCUCCAGGUGGGGGAAAGGGCGAAAGAGGAUCAGCCCGACGAGGAGUAGCAAGUCCUGAUCUCUGAUUUUCCUAUUCAGAAGUCGUGCUGCGGGACAGAGCGAGAGAUUAAGUGGACUGGAGAGUAAGAGCGAGAUACCGUCCAGCGAGUGCAACUGCUCAGAGAAUGCAGCAGCUUGGAAAUGCACUGUGCACUGGUUUCACCGAGGCUCGAAAUCGGAAGAAAUUGAAUGUGCACUCUGCAACUUGGUCGUUGUUUUUUGCGGACCGUUCUCCAACCGCGCGGGUACAUGUCGUGUGUCGGUGAAAGAGUGCAGUACGAUGCCACAGUCGCCAGUUAGUCAGCAAGAAGAAGUUCCUCGGAGUGUGAAAUUUUAAGUAGUGUGCAACGUCCGUAAAAAAAACUCCAAUGAAAAAAAAAACCAUUACUCCAGAAGUACCAAACGAGUGACAAUCGUUUUGUCGUUGGCAUUUUUUUUCUUCUUCUAAGCCUCGAACGGUUAAUUUUAACCCAAUGUGUCCCCCCGGGAUCAAAUUCCUUCUUCUAGCGCGAGUUCGGGAAAAUCGACGACAGAGAAAUCAGUCCACGGAACGCGAAAUUGCAGAUGCACCGAGUGACAAUUGAUUUCGGAACAUACUCGAUGGAAUGUGAAAAUCGUUUCAAACCGAUCCGAGAGUGUCUGCAGCAGCGAGAUGUCAUUUCAAAUUCAGUGUGGUGAAAUGCGGAUUAGUGAUUCAGUUACAAAAAAAAAAUUAAAUAACUUGAAGCACACUAGUGUUGAUGUUCUAAGAUGAGCAAAUUCGAAUUCAGUGCAAAACGAGUUUGCUUCUUCUCGAAGGCAGAAAUAUCUAUUCACCAGUCGGUUUGAAAAGUGUGACUGUUGACUUAUUUCUUUUUGACUCGAAUUAUGCACACUCACAGCCACCAACAAACUUUUGUCUACCGCACAAAACGGUACAAUUUUUCAGCAGCACGAGCAGCUAGACUAAAUUAAAUCACCAAUUUCUCCAGAACUUGCUUGAUUGCUGCACACCCGUUUUUUGAUAAGUAUUCGUGUCACCCACUGCGUCGCAAACAAUCGGAUUAUUAGGUUAUUUCUAAGCGGAAGUUGGUAAGAUGAAGCCCUACUAUAUCAUACUCAGAAUAUAUUAUUCGUUUAGUGAUUGGAAAAUUCAGCUCCUCCCCUCUUCUUCACCUGUUGUCCGAGGGAUGAAAACAAAUCCUUUCCUCUCCCAUAACUUUGUCAAUUGCUCCAUUAGUAUUAUUUUUAGCUCCUCUGCAAAUAUGACACCAAAAAUUCGAUUCGCACACACGUACACAGCCUGUGUAGUAGUACUCAUUUGCGGGAACCCGUAGAUCCGAACUUGUGCUGCCGUUUCACAUGUUACAAGAACGGAUGUAUGGGAUUCUGCCGAUGUAUGGCCAAGCAUCGAUCGAUGAAUCGGAGUCGAGCCGAAACCAGCCAGCAACUGUCCCUCUCCGUGGUGUACGGUCUCGGAGCACUAAGCUCCCAAAUCCAACCUGGUUUUCCAUUCAGUAGUAACCGUGCCCAGCAGCAAAGUAGAAUAACGAGUUCUGGUAGAAAUAGACGGAAAUAGUGUUACAAUCGUGUGAGUGUUUCUUUACGGUCAUGGUGGCAAAUAUGCACCCUCUACGAAAUUAAGUGAUGAGUGCAGAAGAGCACACAGUACCAGGAAUGCACAAUUUCUGUCGACUAGGAUAACUAGCCGUUUAAGGUGAACGUGAAUUGGAACAGUGUCAAAUCGUAAGAAUGUGAGAGCACAGCUUAAACUUAGCAUUUUAAGGGUUGAUAGUUUUUAUUCACUCUCCCAAAUUCCUCAUUUUCCUCACAGUCAACACAUUUUUCAUUUAGAGUAAGCAAAAUCGUUACCACAAACUAAAAAUCAAAAGAAAUAUAAAAAAUUCAAAACAA